rfam:Taenia asiatica genome assembly, scaffold: TASK_contig0002681
GGCUCAGUGGUCUAGGGGUAUGAUUCGCGCUUUGGGUGCGCGAGGUCCCGGGUUCGAAUCCCGGUUGGGCCC